rnacentral:lncRNA from 1 species
CCACAGUGUUGCUGUCAAUAAGGCUGUUUGAGGUGUUCGCACUUGAGUGCUGCUUGAACUACGGGAGCUUGCUUGCGCAUUGUAGGUUGCGGCCGGCAGUGAGGCUGUGAGGGGGAGCGGCUGCUUGACGCACGUGGGACAUUCGGACCUGCGUGUAUAUGUCACACAUUCGGACCUGCGUGUAUAUGUCACACAUUGUUGCUGUAGCCAACGCCUCAUGGGCGUGUAGAAUUGCCGUGAUGGAAUACCGGACACUGGGGGUGGAGCAAGGCGGUAGUAGUUCACAGUCAGGCAGGGUGCGAUGGGACAGGUUAAGGGGCAGG